rnacentral:rRNA from 1 species
AUGCAGCCGCCGUGCCUGGGCGCGUGCGGGGGCAGCCCCGCCGUCCUGGGCGCCAGCGCCCACUGCCAGCGCCCCUCCACCUCUACCAGGGUUACCGUCCGGUGCGCCGCCCGGGGCGGGAGGGCGUCGUCCAGGGGGAAGGAGAACGUCUGGAGCGUAGACAACGAACGCGCCGCCGAGCAGAAGUCUCGGUCCCAAAAGAGUCACCGCGGGCGGAGGCGCCCGGCCGGCCGCAGCAGGCCGCCCCCGCCGCCGAGGAGGAGGAAGGAGAAUGACGCGGGCUCGAGGGUUCUGGUCUCCGGUGCCAUGCUGGUGGAGGUCGAGACCGUGCUCCAGACCCAGGAAUCUGUAUUAAGGCCUUCCUGGGAUACAUUUGCGAGUAGCUUAAGUGGCGUAUGGAAGGGUGUCGGAGCUGUGUUCUCACCAAUCACAGCAGAGAUGGAACCUGUUGGACUAGGAAGCAAACAGGAGUAUCUUUAUGAUUGCUACACCCUUUCUCUCAUUGAGAAGUCGUAUGAUAGUGGUCAUGGAACCGAGAUCCGAAGGAAGACAAAUUGGGUGCAACUCAAUCCUCACGGGGAAGCUGAGAAGCAGAGUGCCAGCGAUGAUGAAUGGAAUCAUGGUAGCUCAAGUGGGACUGUUGAUUUACCUGCACAUGAAUAUUUUGAUCUUAAAAAGAGCGAUGUACUCGAUGAAGAUGUUAUGAUUGAAGAACCAGGGAUUGUAUUUUUUGAGGAUGGAUCAUACUCUAGAGGUCCACUCGAUAUCGAAAUCGGUGAAUAUGAUGAAUCUAAAUACUUCCUUUCACCAACGUAUCAGUUUGAGCAAAGUUUGGUCAAAGGAUGCCACAAAAGACUGCGUAUUGUGCAUACCAUUGAAUUCAGUGAAGGAGGAGCGAAUAUACAAACUGUAAGGGUUGCUGUGUAUGAAGAAAAAUGGGCUAGCCCAGCAAAUAUCCAUGUUGAAGAUAAUACCCCUGUUGACGUCAGUCCUUUCUCUCAAAGAAAGCGGACAAAACCAUCAGAACUGACAGGCCCCUGGAAAGUAUAUGAAGUCAGUGCAACACCAAUUUUCAGCGAGAAAGUGAAAGAAAUAGAGGGUGGAGCCGCCUUUGUAUACUUGUGCAUGGAGACCAUGAAGAAGAGAAGCUUGCCAGAGAGCUCUGUUUUCUUCGGGGAGGAGGAGAUGCUCGAUAUGCAAGACGUGACUAUACUUUGGUUGCCUGGAGGCGUCACCGCCUAUGUUGACGUAGAUAAAGACGGUAUACUCUGCAUCGGAGUUAGUUGGUACUCGGAGGAAGGGAUUAAUCUGGUGAUGGAGAGAGAUUAUGGAACCGAUGGGAAGCUCAGGGAGGUUCGGACAAAAACUGAAAUCAAGCGCAGGUGGAAUCAACCACUCCCACCAUAG